UUAUAAAAAAAGAUAUUUCAUGGCAGGGAUCAGCCCUGUACGUAUAAAUGACUGGCACCAUAGCCUGCCAGCCGCUGGGCCAUUGCCGCUAAAUUCGGCCAACAGGUGAAGGCCGAUAGGCCUAAUCUCUGUCGGCCAUGCCUAUAAAGCAAAGUCGUUCUGCUACGCUAGCGGGGAAAAGAAUCUGCAAGAGCACACCGCCAGCAGAGAGGAGGAUCUGCAUGAGCGUUGUCAACCGGGAGAUCGCCAUCACCGUCGCCAACCCAGCGUUGUGGUCACCCAAAUCUACGGUAUGGCCCCCUCUCGAGUUCGCGCUUGCCACCGCCCUCUCUUACGCCAGUCUACGGUUGGGAGAUACGUAUUCGCCGCGGGGCAGGUGCUCCGGCAAUGGCGGCUUCCGCUUGGGUCACUCUCGCCACCGUAUUCAAUGGUUAGAGAUGGGAGAUGAUCUGGUACCCGCUCAUCGGAAAAUGAACGGCUGGGAUUCGUUGGCGCAUACCCAUUCAAUGCAUUAAAUCCUUGACGUCAACCAGCGAUCGGACGGUUUUGGAGUCACGUGAUGCUCUGACCGUGGAUCCCAGAUCCAAGGGCUGAUAGCGCAUACCGGUUCAAUGAAAGUAGCAUCUAAUCUGGGCCACCAGAUUUUGAUCAGGCGGCCAGGAAUUGAGGAUACCUCUUCGUGCUCGGCCUUUUGCAUAAGAUCCCCUCGCUAACUUCAAAAUAAACUCGCAGUCCUGUCUAUGGGAAUCCUGAGUCUCAUGAGUUUUUGCGUAAUAACCCCUAUGUCUCUCUGUUAUUUGCGCCCAGUCCGAAAGCUUAGGAAAUUCAGGAAAAUAAUUUAGAAAAGGGUUUUUGUGUAUAAAAAUAUAUCCAGAACUUAUUUAAUUCAUAGAAAUUAUAUUUUAACUUCUUUUUAGUCCGUUUCGGUUGCAAUAAUUUUGUUUUAAUAUUGUAUAUCACCUAGUACCUUUGUUUAAUCAUGAAACUUGAAUUAAAAUUUCUCAAUUAAAUUAAUCUAUUCUAGGUGCUAAAUAACUCCAGAAAUUCAUAACUUCUUCGUUCUGAUUCCGAUUUGAUCCGUUCAAGUUGCGCUAGAUUCAUAUGAAUAUUUAUUAUGCAGUAACAAUAUUAAUUAUACCAUAUUGCAUAAUUUUAUAAUUAGAUAUUUAUUUAUCCUAUGUGUGCUAGAUUAGCUCUUCUAAAUCAAAACUAACCUGAUCAUAAUUAUAAUGUGGUUAAAACAUGAUCUCUAGUCAAGUAUAGCCUAGAUUAAAGUUGAAUUGAUUAUUUUGAGUAUAUUUUCUCAUAUGAUGUAUAAUAAUCAAUUUAUAAUAUAAUUUGAUAUUCAACCACAUAGAUUUUCCGUGAAUCGUAACUCGGUAACCGUAACUCCGAUUUUAGCGUCGCGUAGAUUAUUAUUACGUAGUUUAUUGUUAUGUUUGGUGUGAUGUUAAUUUUGUCUAUACAUGUUUGUCUGUAUUGCUACGUUUAGCGAUGAGGACAUGCGUCAUCUGAAGAGCAAGUUGGUACCUGGAAUCUCAAGUCCCAGGCAAGUUGUGCCCUGAUCACUUCUUUUACCCACUCAUGUUCUAAUUAAUCAUAAUGAUCUGCAUAGGUUAAUUUUGAUGGGACCUAAUAGGUUACCCUAGUUUGUCUAUCUUUAUGCCUUGUUUACCACUGAACUUUUUGGGUAGUACUUGCUAGUGCUAUAUGUGGUUUUGGGCAUUGAGAUACACAUUACUCAUGAUUAUACUUUUGUUAUCAGUUGUUAUUUACUGGUCAUGAUAAGAUCAGUAUGUUAAUUGGAACAUGGAGCGACCACCCGGGAAAACAGUGCUACCACAAGGGUUUAAUGGGAUGCCCUUGGCUAAUUAAUUAGGAAAGCUAGUGGAAGACUACCUCACCUGAAAGGGGCAAGGGUAGUAGGGGAGUGGUCAGUGUGGGGAGGUCCUUGGUUGAUUUUGCUGCGAUGGCGGUCAGGCGAGGGAUCCCUGCAUUGGAGCUUCCUAUAAACUGUAGCGGGUUUUCUGAAGCUAGUGGAACUUUGUAAAGGCCUCGUAGUGUCACUCUGCCUCGCUUCCUUGGUAGAGGUGUAUGGGGCCCGUACAACCCAUGAAAAAUGGGUAACAUGACUUGUGGGUAAAGAUGUGCAACCUCUGCAGAGUGUAAAACUGGUAUACUAGCCGUGCUCACGGUCAUGAGCAGCUCGGACCCUCACAUGAUUAACUUAUGGAACUAAAUUCAAUUUGUCAUAUGCAUUGCAUCGCAGGUGAUGUUAUUACUUUUGUUCUACUACUUAAUUGGGUUGGUAUUUACUUAUACUUAGUAAUUGCUAAUAAAAUUUUGACCAACUUUAAAAGCAAUGCUCAGCUCUAACCAUCCUCUUUGGUAAGCCUUACACUUCACGUGAGCUCCCACCUUUGGCGAGUUCAUGCAGAUUAUUCCCCACAACUUGUUGAGCGAUGAACGAAUGUGAGCUCACUCUUGCUGUCUCACACCCCCCACACAUGUCAAGAACAGGUACCAUAGGAUGAGGCACAUGGAGGAUGCUGUGAUGAGUUCGUGAGUGGUCUUGGUCGUCGUCUCCCAGUCAACUUUGGGUUGCUGGACCAUUGUCUCCUUAUAAUGUAUUUAUUUAUUUAUUUUGUACAAGAACUUUUGUUAUGUAGUAAAGAUGUGAC
rnacentral:lncRNA from 1 species